GAGUUUGAUCAUGGCUCAGGAUGAACGCUGGCGGCGUGCCUAAUACAUGCAAGUCGAGCGGUAAGGCCCUUCGGGGUACACGAGCGGCGGACGGCUGAGUAACACGUAGGAACGUACCCCAAACUGAGGGAUAAGCACCAGAAAUGGUGUCUAAUACCGCAUGUGGUCUUCGGAUUAAAGCUUCGGCGGUUUGGGAACGGCCUGCGCAUGAUUAGCUAGUUGGUGAGGUAAUGGCUCACCAAGGCGAUGAUCAUUAGCUGGUCUGAGAGGAUGACCAGCCAGACUGGGACUGAGAACGGCCCAGACUCCUACGGGAGGCAGCAGUAGGGAAUUUUCCACAAUGGGCGAAAGCCUGAUGGAGCAACGCCGCGUGCAGGAUGAAUGUCUUCGGAUUGUAAACUGCUUUUAUAUGUGACGAUUAUGACGGUAGCAUAUGAAUAAGGAUCGGCUAACUCCGUGCCAGCAGCCGCGGUCAUACGGAGGAUCCAAGCGUUAUCCGGAAUUACUGGGCGUAAAGAGUUGCGUAGGUGGCAUAGUAAGUAGAUAGUGAAAGCGUCCGGCUCAACCGGAUAUCCAUUAUCUAAACUGCUAAGCUUGAGGACGAGAGAGGUGAUUGGAAUUCCCUGUGUAGGAGUGAAAUCCGUAGAUAUAGGGAGGAACACCGAUGGCGUAGGCAGAUCACUGGCUCGUUCCUGACACUAAGGCACGAAAGCGUGGGUAGCAAACGGGAUUAGAUACCCCGGUAGUCCACGCCGUAAACGAUGGAUGCUAGCUGUUAUAGGUAUCGACCCCUGUAGUAGCGAAGCUAACGCGUUAAGCAUCCCGCCUGUGGAGUACGGUCGCAAGACUAAAACAUAAAGGAAUUGACGGGGACCCGCACAAGCGGUGGAGCGUGUUGUUUAAUUCGAUGGUAAACGAAGAACCUUACCCAGGCUUGACAUCCCGGUGCCAUUUCCGAAAGGAAAUUUCAUUUAGUUGGUCGGUGACAGGUGAUGCAUGGCCGUCGUCAGCUCGUGUCGUGAGAUGUUUGGUUAAGUCCAUCAACGAGCGCAACCCUUGUGAAUAGUUGAAUUUUUCUAUUCAGACUGCCCUGGUAACAGGGAGGAAGGAGGGGAUGAUGUCAGGUCAGUAUUUCCCCUACGUCUGGGGCUACAAACACGCUACAAUGGCCGGUACAAAGGGCAGCCAAGUCGCAAGACGGAGCAAAUCCCAUCAAAGCCGGUCUCAGUUCGGAUUGAAGGCUGAAACUCGCCUUCAUGAAGCCGGAAUCGCUAGUAACGGCAGGUCAGCUAUACUGCCGUGAAUACGUUCCCGGGUCUUGUACACACCGCCCGUCAAACCAUGAAAGUCGCCAAUACCUGACGUGUGAGCUUCGCCUCGCCCUAAGGUAGGGGAGAUGAUUGGGGUUAAGUCGUAACAAGGUAACC
rnacentral:rRNA from 1 species